rnacentral:tRNA from 2 species
GCCGAAGUGGUGGAACUUGGUAGACACGCACGGUUGAGGGCCGUGUGGCGAAAGCUAUGCGGGUUCAAAUCCCGCCUUCGGCACCA